CAGCAGCCGCGGUAAUACGAAGGGGGCUAGCGUUGCUCGGAAUUACUGGGCGUAAAGGGCGCGUAGGCGGACAGUUAAGUCAGAGGUGAAAGCCCAGGGCUCAACCUUGGAACUGCCUUUGAUACUGGCUGUCUAGAGUGCGGGAGAGGUGUGUGGAACUCCGAGUGUAGAGGUGAAAUUCGUAGAUAUUCGGAGAACACCAGUGGCGAAGGCGGCUCACUGGUCCGGAACUGACGCUGAGGCACGACAGCGUGGGGAGCAAACAGGAUUAGAGACCCCCGUAGUCCCUGUCUCUUAUACA
rnacentral:rRNA from 1 species